GAUGAACGCUGGCGGCGUGCCUAAUACAUGCAAGUCGAGCGAACAGACGAGGAGCUUGCUUCUCUGACGUUAGCGGCGGACGGGUGAGUAACACGUGGAUAACCUACCUAUAAGACUGGGAUAACUUCGGGAAACCGGAGCUAAUACCGGAUAAUAUUUUGAACCGCAUGGUUCAAUAGUGAAAGACGGUUUUGCUGUCACUUAUAGAUGGAUCCGCGCCGCAUUAGCUAGUUGGUAAGGUAACGGCUUACCAAGGCAACGAUGCAUAGCCGACCUGAGAGGGUGAUCGGCCACACUGGAACUGAGACACGGUCCAGACUCCUACGGGAGGCAGCAGUAGGGAAUCUUCCGCAAUGGGCGAAAGCCUGACGGAGCAACGCCGCGUGAGUGAUGAAGGUCUUCGGAUCGUAAAACUCUGUUAUUAGGGAAGAACAAAUGUGUAAGUAACUAUGCACGUCUUGACGGUACCUAAUCAGAAAGCCACGGCUAACUACGUG
rnacentral:rRNA from 1 species